GCCCCUAUCGUCCAGUGGUCAGGACACCGGUCUUUCAAGCCGGUAACAGGAGUUCAAUUCUCCUUAGGGGCA
rnacentral:tRNA from 1 species